rnacentral:rRNA from 1 species
UGCGAGUGAAGCGGCAAAAGCUCAAAUUUGAAAUCUGCGCCCUUCGGGGCGUCGAGUUGUAAUUUUGAGAUGCGUUUUCGACCGACAGGCCUGCCUUAAGUCCCUUGGAACAGGGCGUCACAGAGGGUGAGAAUCCCGUGAACGGUAGGCCUCGAGGCAAACGAUACGUAUUCGACGAGUCGAGUUGUUUGGGAAUGCAGCUCAAAAUGGGUGGUAAAUUUCAUCUAAAGCUAAAUAUAGGGGAGAGACCGAUAGCGCACAAGUAGAGUGAUCGAAAGAUGAAAAGCACUUUGAAAAGAGAGUUAAAAAGUACGUGAAAUUGUUGAAAGGGAAGCGCUUGAGGCCAGACUCAAUCUCCGUCGAUCAACCUCGGUUCUCCGGGGUGCAAUCGGCGGCUUUUGGGACAGCAUCGGUUCCGGCGGAGGGACAAAGCCUCAGGGAAUGUGGCACCCCUCGGGGUGUGUUAUAGACCUAUGGGUAAUGCCUCCGGCUGGGACCG